AGAAUCACGGUCAGCUGACAGAAAUCCCGCCUUCUGCGCUACAAUUGGCUAGUGCGAGUUUGCCUUUGCUCUGUGAUUGGCUGGAAGGAUCUUGUCCCCAUUUACUUUGAAGGGUCAUGAGGGAGCCUACUUUUGCUUGGUCUGCGAGCAGGAGGUGUUUUAAAAGACCUUGCCAAGUUUGUGGUGUGGUUUGUUGCUUACAAACUGAAAAAACAUAAAACGAAUGUUUUUCUGCUGCUUGAGCUGAAAAUACAGCGUGGGAGUUUUAUUUUUUAGAGACUUUUUGACUGAGGAGGUCUGGUUUAAAAAGUCUACGAAGAUUCCUUAUGUUAAAAGGUUUUAACUGAAUCACAAAUUCCUUCAUUAUCGAGAACAUCUCCAUGUUUUUGAUUGGUGACAGCUGCUGGAAUGGGAGCCAGCGAGCUGUAUGUUCCCACUAAGUAAAAAGAAACCUGGACUGAGCACUCAAAAUAUCACACACACCAGAGUCUGAUCCAAGCUGGUCAGUGUUUCUCCCUCAUCCUCAAGAGACAUUUGAGAUUGGUUUCUGACUGAAAAGGAAAAAUAUAAAGAUCUGACCUUGACCAGUAUAAUGUCUCGGCACUGUAAAGAGGAUUUACCAGAAGGCCUUAUUCCACCAAUUGAAAUGGACGAGGAAGAGUGUGGCAUCAUUUGGAGGAGAGUGUCUAACCAAUGUCUGGUUAAGCCUUCGAACAAACAAGUUAAAUCAGCAAAAGUCAAAUCUACUAAAUCAGAUGCAAGCAAG